rnacentral:rRNA from 1 species
AUUGAACGCUGGCGGCGUGCCUAACACAUGCAAGUCGAGCGGUAACAGGUGUAGCAAUACAUGCUGACGAGCGGCGGACGGGUGAGCAAUAUUUGGGAAUCUGCCUAUUAGUGGGGGAUAACCCGGGGAAACUCGGGCUAAUACCGCAUACGCUCUACGGAGGAAAGCCGGGGACCGCAAGGCCUGGCGCUAGUAGAUGAGCCCAAAUCGGAUUAGCUAGUUGGUGAGGAACGGCUCACCAAGGCGACGAUCCGUAGCUGGUUUGAGAGAACGACCAGCCACACCGGAACUGAGACACGGUCCGGACUCCUACGGGAGGCAGCAGUGGGGAAUAUUGGACAAUGGGCGAAAGCCUGAUCCAGCGACGCCGCGUGGGUGAAGAAGGCC